AAUUAAAUAUCUUAAUAAAUAGAGAUCGAAUCUGAGAAAAGAGAAUGGAUAAAGAUAGAAGGGGUUGAAAUAGAUUUUUAGAAAGGGUAAAUAUGUAAGGUCCUUAAUGGGAAGGAUCGAAUUUCGAAAGGGUGGACUAGUUUUUAACAGCGCAGGCUUGCUGUAGUGGGGGUAGAUGGCGCGCACGGGUACGCGGAGGCAGCGCUUCGAGCACGUAGGUCAAGUUACGAUAGGACCGCGCGCACACAGUUCGCGGGGAGCGCUCGUGUAGUGCGCGUUGUUGUCCCGUGUUCCUCUAGAUGAUCGAUCACGUGGGAAGCAGAGCGGCGGUUGGUUUACGUGAAUUGGUGGCGGCGAUCGAGCUCGAUCGAGGGCUGCUAGUAGAUAAUAAUAAAUGUGUGGGGCUCCGUGAUGGACAACCCUAGCGGCGGAAGGGACGGUCGUUACGCGAAUCUCAGCUACGGCAUGGGGAUGAUCGGUAGCGACGGUGCCACGGAAAUGUACGGGCGAGCGUCCACCUCCCAACUCGGUGCUGCUGCUGUUGCCGCCGCCGCCGCUGCCGCUGCUGCUUCUCAGUUGGGCCAACGUGGUGGCGCCACCAUGAUGCCCGGGGGCGGCCCGACGCCCGGCGUCCCCUCGGUCCAGAGCAGAGGCAUCAAGAGGACCACGUCCGAUGUUUGCUAUACCGACGACACUAACGCCAGGCAACAGGCACUUUCCCAACAGCAGCAGCAACAACAACAACAACAACAGCAACAACAGGGUAUGACAAUGUCUGAUUGUGUUGCCGAUAAUCUCGACGAGUCAUUCACGAAUCUUGGACAACCGAAAAAAUCACCUCCCUCUAAUGGAAAAAAGACGAAAGGAAGAGUUAAGAUUAAAAUGGAGUACAUCGAUAACAAACUUAGGAGGUAUACCACGUUUUCCAAGAGGAAGACCGGUAUCAUGAAGAAGGCGUACGAGUUGUCAACGUUAACCGGGACGCAAGUGAUGCUGUUGGUAGCUAGCGAGACCGGACACGUGUACACGUUCGCGACGCGCAAACUACAACCAAUGAUAACCAGCGAGGCAGGGAAAGCGUUGAUCCAGACGUGUCUGAACAGUCCGGACCCACCGCCUUCUGGUUCCUCUGGUGACCAGCGGAUGUCGGCGACUGGGUUCGAGGAGACCGAGUUGACCUACAACAUCGGGGACGAGGAGCAGAAAGAAGACGGAACGUCACCCAGAUCGGAUGUCUGCGCAAACGAGAGCGACGGUGAUACAAGCGACGGCGAUUCACCGGUUUCUAAAGACCUCGCCAAAAAUCAUUCAGGUAAUAUGCCUUCCUUCUCAACCGGAAUUAUGUACCAGAUGCCACAAAGUGUCAUUUAUUCGCCCAGUCCGGGCGUUUUGCUCGGUAUUGGACAAAACGGUCAACCCGUGCAAAUUUCCCAAGACGGAGGUACAACAACAUCGGUGAACUCGUCGCAAGGAAAUCAACCGUUCAUCACGAUACCACUAAACGUGGCAAUGAGUGCUGCGGGUCUUUCAUUGCCGAGAACGAAUUUGUCAUCUCCGUCACCGAAAUCACCAAUCUCGGCUUCAGCGUCUUCAGAUUUGCCUUCCGAUCUUAGCAAAGACAGAGAGUGACACAGGCUAAACGUUGUCAAAGGUAAUUCGCAUUUUCGAGUCUCCCUGUAUCGUCGCAAAACGUCGGAACAUUUUUUCAAAGGGUCUCCGAGACAAAAGGAAAAGAAAUUUCAUGAAGUCAAAAUCAAGGAGGAAGGAUCAAGGGAAAACUAAGAAAAAGAGGAGAAAGAGGAAGAAGACUCGAAGGAAAAUGAAAGGAAAGAUUUAUCGACGAGGAUUACAAAGCACCAAAAUGGCGCCACGAACCAGUCGAGGAGAAAACGAAAAGUCGAAGAAAUUUAAAACGAGACCCGAUUACUUUUCUCAUUUCUUCGACUUUUUCGUAAUUCACAAAUAGGACUAAACGUGACAAGUACACAUCAAAUCCGUUAGCAGCCUUCUUGUAUACGCGCUCGAAGUUCUUCAAUGCAGUGGGUGGGGUAUCAAAUAUACAAUUAAUUUCAAAUAAGCUCAAAAAUACAAAUCUAAUUACUCGCUUGUAACUUUGAACGCAUAGCAAAUAAAAAAUAAUAAAAUACUUCUAGUAAGAGAGUCGGGUAUUGAAAAUGAACUGAGUUACUAGUUAACUAGUUAUUCUGGUUUUAGAAUAACUAAAUUUAAUCAACAGAAUGUGUGAUAAAUUCAAACCUAGAGUGAUUAUUUAAAUGACACUUUCUAUGACGAUUAGUUGUUGCGUAUUAUCGGGACGCAAAAGUGACAGUACCUUAGAAAUAAAAUCAAAUAUGACACAUGUUUAGAUAAACUUUGUUUCAUUGUUUUAAGUAUCCUCCUGUUCACUCCUUAUAUUACGAAACACCCUGUAUAUACGUUAUGCAAUUAAAAUGAAAAAUGUCACUUGAAAAAAGUGUCGCAAAUCACAAUAGAAUGAUUUUCCAUGUAAAUUGUCGAAAUAUGAAUAAAAACGGCAUCCAA
rnacentral:misc_RNA from 1 species